GCACUAGUAGCUCAGACUAAGAGCACCGGCCUUGUAAGUCGGCGGCCGGAGGUUAGAAUCCUCCCUACUGCU
rnacentral:tRNA from 1 species